UGGGGAAUUUUGGACAAUGGGCGAAAGCCUGAUCCAGCAAUGCCGCGUGUGUGAAGAAGGCCUUCGGGUUGUAAAGCACUUUUGUCCGGAAAGAAAUCCUUGGCUCUAAUACAGUCGGGGGAUGACGGUACCGGAAGAAUAAGCACCGGCUAACUACGUGCCAGCAGCCGCGGUAAUACGUAGGGUGCAAGCGUUAAUCGGAAUUACUGGGCGUAAAGCGUGCGCAGGCGGUUUGCUAAGACCGAUGUGAAAUCCCCGGGCUCAACCUGGGAACUGCAUUGGUGACUGGCAGGCUAGAGUAUGGCAGAGGGGGGUAGAAUUCCACGUGUAGCAGUGAAAUGCGUAGAGAUGUGGAGGAAUACCGAUGGCGAAGGCAGCCCCCUGGGCCAAUACUGACGCUCAUGCACGAAAGCGUGGGGAGCAAACAGGAUUAGAUACCCUGGUAGUCCACGCCCUAAACGAUGUCAACUAGUUGUUGGGGAUUCAUUUCCUUAGUAACGUAGCUAACGCGUGAAGUUGACCGCCUGGGGGAGUACGGUCGCAAGAUUAAAACUCAAAUGAA
rnacentral:rRNA from 1 species